UUACUACUCCCUCCGUCCCAAAAUUCUUGUCUUAGAUUUGUCUAGAUACGGAUGUAUCAAGUCACGUUUUAGUAUUAGAUACAUCUGUAUCUAGACAAAUCUAAGACAAUAAUUUUGGGACGGAGGGAGUACAUG
rnacentral:pre_miRNA from 1 species